UAAAACCUAGUUUUUCGGUACUGUUUUGCACGGUUAAUAAACAGUGAAAUGUCGGAAACGCCCUUAUUCUCUUCUCUGUUCUCCUUUGUUUUUCCUCCUUGGCACAGUGGAUUUACUAAUUUGUCCAUGCUGCCCACGCGUUGAUCAUCGUCGACUGCUCCUUCCGUUUCCACUUAUUUCUCUCACAAAGCUGGGCUUUUCAUUUGCUUCCGGUCGUCCUCCAUUUGCUACACAAACUCCAGUUCUCUCUCCCUAUUUUGCACGAACCAGAACAUAUGCUCUCUAUCCGUUCCGAUUCGAAGAAAUUCCUCAAGGGUUGUUCAUGUUGUUCUCCUCACAACAAAACCAAAAUUCCUUGAAUUCGCCAAGUCCAAUUCCACUCUGCCAUACCCAGGAAAGCUUGCCUCCAUUCUGAUUUGAAGAAAUUUUAAACCCAGAAAGCUUGGGUUUCCUGAGAUCUCUGCCAUCAUUGUUCCACCAAACUCGCCAAUAGCGUCCGCUCUUUCGAACCAGUCCCGGCAAAAGUCCUUGCAGACUUGCAGCAGAUGCAAACUCGUGUCACAUGGUAUCAUGGAUUGCUCAAAAAAGUCUCAAAGACGUGGAGAGAUUUGUGACAUAGCUCCGACUAUGCGAACGAUGAAGCUAGAAAACAAUGGUGCAGAAUUUGCUGUUUGUUCUUGCUAAGAAGUCUCUCGACUCCCUCAGAAACGAAAUCCAAAAAGGAAAAACCAUGCUCUGCAACACGAUUGACGAUUUCGAUUCCGCUUUGUGGAUGCCUCUGGAACUCUCCAGUCCUGCGUCCGUUCAUCAUAUCGCUGGACCUUCCACUUCCAGUGCAUCUUCAUGGUUUUUUUCAUCUCUCUUUCUCAAAUUUCUGCUUCCGCCGUUCUCAAACUCACCUCUCUCACUCUCAAGCGUUCAGUCUCUCUCGCUCUCAAACGUUGCUGAUCUGUCGAAACCCAUAUUCCUUUCCUCAAAAUCCAAGAAAUUGGAAGAAGCAAAGAACAUGUAUGCUUUUAGCACCACCACCUACACUGGAUUCCAAUGAACUAUAUCCGAAGAAGCAUCUGAAAAAUUCAAAGCUUAUGGAAUGAUUUUAAAAAAAUCAGGCCAUAAUCAGUUUGUACAGGAAUACCAGGAAAUCAGGGAUUAGGAUUAAUCUCCCUGUUAACAUGUGGCCAGUAACAUGUCCAGGGCAAGCUUUGAAUGCACCUGAUGACUUGCCUAAGAAUGUCACACGGACUUUGAAUCAGGGCUCAAUUCCCAUGAGCAUGGAUUUUCAUCCUUCACAGCAGACUCUACUUCUUGGUUGGUACCAAUGUGGGGGACAUAGGGCUGUGGGAAGUUGGAUCUACGAAGAUCCUCUGCAUGCUAUCAAUUUGUUGUCUGAGGAGAAUCUGAAUAGAUCAGAUAGUACAUGAAGAAAAUGAUUUUGGUAACGAAGAAGAAAGAAGAGUGAACGGAAUCACCGCCACCAACAGCUAUGGCUACACAGUUCGUCGUCAUCCAGUAUUCCUCCAAAAUUCCACCAUCUCUCUUUCUUCUCUCCUACUCAGUGCGUCUCUAUUCUUCCAGGUUGCUGAGAAGAACAAAGAUGUGCAAUUAAUAGAUUUUGUUGAAAUCAAGUUUUUAGCUGAGCAGGUGGAAGCCUAUCAGGAAAAUAUCUGAAUAUUUUGCUCAACUAAGGACACUUCACAAAGGGCACACUUCUGCCUUUCUAUAUUGAUGAAAUACUGAUGGAAAUGAGUUUCUUGCCAAGGCUCACAAGGCACUGAAAUGCCCCUGCAAAGCUGACUUACAAAGUGGGCCCUAUGGACUUUAGUUUUCAGAGGCUUUUCUCUGUUAUCUUAAAAGCACGGUGGAAGAAAAGGGAUCAGGCUGUGUCCAUCCAUUUGUAGUUUUGCAGAAUUGUAUUAAAGUUAAUCCUUCUAAAGACAAUUUAGAAGAAGAUGCGAUUAACAAAGAUGACGACUACACCACUUUUUCUCUUUUCCUCAUAACAAACAAUGACCAUUGAUUUUUUUUCCUUUUCUUUCUUUUUGAAAAAUACAUGUCAAUGAAAAAAAAAAAAGAUCCGGAUUGUUAGUCAUUUAUAUAUUUUCUUUUAACCACUAAGAACAACAACAAAAAAGUGAUCUUUAUUGUUUUGUGAGUGUGAAAUGGUAUCUUUAGAUUUUCAUGAAGUUGUGUUUUGCUUCCAUGACUCAGAGGGUGGAUAUGGCGGCAGACAAGGACAGAUGCCACAUCUUGCAACGAAUUAUGCUGCAGUUAAUGCACUUAUAACUCCUUGGUGGUGAGGCGAACUCUACAAAUUUUUGCAGUAAAUGAAACUUCCAAGCAGCGGCUUCAGGCUUCUAAAUCUAAGGUAGCUGCUAAGAAUGGCCCAACUGCUGCUACAAAGAAGAAAGAAGUCUCAGAUGAAAGCUCAGAUGAGAGUAGCGAUGAUUCGGAAGAUGAUGAUGAAACCCCUGCAAAGGUUACUGCGCAAAAAGGCUGCUCAGUUGCAAAGAAAGGCUCAUCAGUGGCUGUUAAGAAGGCAGACACUAGCAGCUCUAGAUCUAAAAAGAGCUCUGAAUCUGAAGAUGAGUGUACGUGAUUUCGUUUUUUAGGUGGUUCUCAAUUGGAUUCCACAGUAAAACCCAGAAACUUAGAGUAAAAACCUUGAAACUUAAAGGCAUGAGGCACCUCCACGCCUCCCAAUCUGCCGACGUUAGAGCGCUCACCACAUGUUCGUCAUUAAUCCUCAAACAGUCGAACCCACUUCUCUCUCCCUCUCCAUCUCCGUAUGCGUUUGCACUGUCGCACAAUCUGUAUGUCGUUAGAAACUACUUGAGCAGCCACGAUCUCAGAUUUUCAGUUUCUAAACAAUGAGAUGAUGCGACUGUUCAAAGUGCUUUUGUCAUUAAGGAUUGUUUUGUUGCAAAAAGCAAGGCCAAUUUGUUUAGGGCUUGAAGAUUUCUACAUUCACCGGGUUUAUCUUCGACUUCAGGUACUUUGUUCCAUUAACAACUUAAAGUCAGUUGCAACCACAGAGAUUGGGUAAAAUAAGCUGAUUAUCUGCCUAUUUCAUGAGGAUAUCAAUAGGGACUAUCUACCCAAUCUUUUGUGUGUAAAUAGUAUGUAAAUACACAUCAAAUAUUAUCUUUUGUAUGUAAAUUUGUAAAAGAUGUGAAUAUUAGAACAAUGGCAAUAGAACUGCCAAUCCAUACCGUUGUAAAUAGAUUUCUGUAUGUAUAUAAAUAGUAUUGCAUAUCAUGUGCAUUUAGAA